UAAAAAGAGAGGUCAUCAGGGUUAGGCGAGACUUUGUUGUUGGAGAGGGACCCCAACUCAAGUUUACUUCAUUUUUCUCAGUCUUUUUGGGAUGGGAAGGUUGGAAGAACUAUAAUUUUCCCUGCAAAGCCACAAUCUCAUUUCUGUUGAGCUUCUUCAUAAUGAAAAGAACUUUGCUUUUGUUUUAAGACCAUCUUCAUCUUGCACUACCUGACAUUUCAGAGGAAGAGCCCAAUCCUGAAGGGUUUUUGGAAAUGUGUUUAGAGAAGACGCUAUGUGAAAAUGUUCCUUAUGUCCUACAGAAAUAGGCACAGGCCGGGCGUGGUGGCUGACCUGCAAUCCCAGUACUUUGGGAGGCCAAGGUGAAUGGAUAAAAAUAUGUUUAUAUAGAGAGUGGAAUAUUAUUCAGUCAUGGAAAAGAAGGAAAUGCUGACAUUUGCAACAACAUGGAAGAACGGAAGGACGUCAUGCUAAGUGAAGGAAGUGAGACCCAGAAAGACAAAUACCACAUGAUUUCACGCAUAUGCAAAAUCUACAAAAGUUGAACUCAUAAAAGCAGAGAGUAGAGCGGUGGCUGGUUAGGAAAAUGGGGAGAUGCUGAUGGAAGGGUCCAAACUUUCAGUUAUAAGAGGCCACUUAAGCAAGAUUCCUGCUCAUGGAACACUAUAUGCUAAUAAAGUUGAUAAUGAAAAUAUACUUUUAAUUUUUCUAGUAAUUAUUUACUUUUAA
rnacentral:lncRNA from 1 species